ACGAACGCUGGCGGCGUGCUUAACACAUGCAAGUCGAACGUGAUUUUUGUGGAAAUUCUUUCGGGAAUGGAAAUGAAAUGAAAGUGGCGAACGGGUGAGUAACACGUGAGCAACCUACCUUACACAGGGGGAUAGCCGUUGGAAACGACGAUUAAUACCGCAUGAGACCACAGAAUCGCAUGAUAUAGGGGUCAAAGAUUUAUCGGUGUAAGAAGGGCUCGCGUCUGAUUAGCUAGUUGGAAGGGUAAAGGCCUACCAAGGCGACGAUCAGUAGCCGGUCUGAGAGGAUGAACGGCCACAUUGGAACUGAGACACGGUCCAAACUCCUACGGGAGGCAGCAGUGGGGAAUAUUGCACAAUGGGGGGAACCCUGAUGCAGCGACGCCGCGUGAGCGAAGAAGGUUUUCGAAUCGUAAAGCUCUGUCCUAUGAGAAGAUAAUGACGGUAUCAUAGGAGGAAGCCCCGGCUAAAUACGUGCCAGCAGCCGCGGUAAUACGUAUGGGGCGAGCGUUGUCCGGAAUUAUUGGGCGUAAAGGGUACGUAGGCGGUUUUUUAAGUCAGGUGUGAAAGCGUGAGGCUUAACCUCAUUAAGCACUUGAAACUGGAAGACUUGAGUGAAGGAGAGGAAAGUGGAAUUCCUAGUGUAGCGGUGAAAUGCGUAGAUAUUAGGAGGAAUACCGGUGGCGAAGGCGACUUUCUGGACUUUUACUGACGCUCAGGUACGAAAGCGUGGGGAGCAAACAGG
rnacentral:rRNA from 2 species